GUGGGCUAUGGGGACAUUUACCCAAAGACAUUAUUAGGGAAAAUUGUGGGCGGUCUGUGCUGUAUUGCUGGGGUUCUGGUGAUCGCCCUUCCUAUACCAAUCAUUGUAAACAAU
rfam:Oryctolagus cuniculus chromosome 3, whole genome shotgun sequence.